rnacentral:rRNA from 1 species
UACGUAGGUGACAAGCGUUGUCUGGAUUUACUGGGCGUAAAGAGCGCGCAGGCGGUCGAUCAAGUCGAGUGUGAAAGCCCCCGGCUCAACUGGGGAGGGUCAUUCGAUACUGAUCGACUUGAAGGCAGGAGAGGGAAGUGGAAUUCCCGGUGUAGUGGUGAAAUGCGUAGAUAUCGGGAGGAACACCAGUGGCGAAGGCGACUUCCUGGCCUGUUCUUGACGCUGAGGCGCGAAAGCUAGGGGAGCAAACGGG